UACGAAGGGGGCUAGCGGUGCUCGGAAUUACUGGGCGUAAAGCGCACGUAGGCGGCUUCUUAAGUCGGAGGUGAAAUCCUGGAGCUCAACUCCAGAACUGCCUUCGAUACUGGGAAGCUCGAGUCCGGGAGAGGUGAGUGGAACUGCGAGUGUAGAGGUGAAAUUCGUAGAUAUUCGCAAGAACACCAGUGGCGAAGGCGGCCCACUGGCCCGGUACUGACGCUGAGGUGCGAAAGCGUGGGGAGCAAACAGG
rnacentral:rRNA from 1 species